UCAACCUGGUUGAUCCUGCCAGUAGUCAUAUGCUUGUCUUAAAGAUUAAGCCAUGCAUGUCUAAGUAUAAAUAGUAUACAGUGAAACUGCGAAUGGCUCAUUAAAUCAGUUAUAGUUUAUUUGACAAUACUUUUACAUGGAUAACUGUAGUAACAUAGAGCUAAUACAUGCUGCACGGCCCGACCUCGGAAGGG
rnacentral:rRNA from 1 species